rnacentral:lncRNA from 1 species
UCAUCAUGUAUAAAAUGGUGCAGUAGGAUGCAAAAUUUCCACUUGUUUAUAAGUGUAUCGCCGAGAAAUGUAUAAAAUAAUCGAGACCGGCGGAGGCAGGUCAGAGCCGUCUGGAAUGCGCGCACCUUCAACCACUUUGGGAGGCCAAGGCAGGUGGAUCACCUCAGGUCAGGAGUUCGAGACCAGCGUGACCAACAUGGUGAAACCCGUCUCUACUAAAAAUACAAAAAAUUAGCUGGGUAUGGUGGUGCAUGCCUGUAUGCUACUCGGGAGGCUGAGGCAGGAGAACCUUGGAGGCAAAGGUUGCAGUGAGCUGAGAUCGAGCCACUGCACUCCAGCCUGGGCGACAGCGCAAAACUUUGUCUCAAAAAAAAAAAAAGUCCGCAGUAUGGUUUUCACAUUAUCACUCUCAAUGCCAUUGGAGGUAGGUCCAAGCUGGUGUCUCUUUGAUUAGUCUCCCUAAUCCCAUCUAUUCAUUUACUAGCCAUUAGUUAUUCUUUAAUUGAAUCCAAAAAUGUUUGUGAGGAGAUAGUCCCAUAUGAGAUUAAAAGAAAGAAAGAAAAACAAAACAACAAACAAACAAACAAAACAGAAAAUCAGGUGUAGUGGACACUGAAGAGUUUCUG